rnacentral:rRNA from 1 species
AGAGUUUGAUCCUGGCUCAGGACGAACGCUGGCGGCACGCUUAACACAUGCAAGUCGAACGAGAGAAGAGGAGCUUGCCUUUCUGAUCUAGUGGCGGACGGGUGAGUAACACGUGAGCAAUCUGCCUUUCAGAGGGGGAUACCGAUUGGAAACGAUCGUUAAUACCGCAUAACAUAAUUGAACCGCAUGAUUUGAUUAUCAAAGAUUUAUCGCUGAAAGAUGAGCUCGCGUCUGAUUAGCUAGUUGGUAAGGUAACAGCUUACCAAGGCGACGAUCAGUAGCCGGACUGAGAGGUUGAUCGGCCACAUUGGGACUGAGACACGGCCCAGACUCCUACGGGAGGCAGCAGUGGGGAAUAUUGCACAAUGGAGGAAACUCUGAUGCAGCGAUGCCGCGUGAGGGAAGAAGGUUUUAGGAUUGUAAACCUCUGUCUUCAGGGACGAAAAAAGACGGUACCUGAGGAGGAAGCUCCGGCUAACUACGUGCCAGCAGCCGCGGUAAUACGUAGGGAGCGAGCGUUGUCCGGAAUUACUGGGUGUAAAGGGAGCGUAGGCGGGAUCGCAAGUCAGAUGUGAAAACUAUGGGCUUAACCCAUAAACUGCAUUUGAAACUGUGGUUCUUGAGUGAAGUAGAGGUAAGCGGAAUUCCUAGUGUAGCGGUGAAAUGCGUAGAUAUUAGGAGGAACAUCAGUGGCGAAGGCGGCUUACUGGGCUUUAACUGACGCUGAGGCUCGAAAGCGUGGGGAGCAAACAGGAUUAGAUACCCUGGUAGUCCACGCCGUAAACGAUGAUUACUAGGUGUGGGGGGACUGACCCCUUCCGUGCCGCAGCAAACGCAAUAAGUAAUCCACCUGGGGAGUACGACCGCAAGGUUGAAACUCAAAGGAAUUGACGGGGGCCCGCACAAGCAGUGGAGUAUGUGGAUUAAUUCGAAGCAACGCGAAGAACCUUACCAGGUCUUGACAUCGUAUGCAUAGCUCAGAGAUGAGUGAAAUCUCUUCGGAGACAUAUAGACAGGUGGUGCAUGGUUGUCGUCAGCUCGUGUCGUGAGAUGUUGGGUUAAGUCCCGCAACGAGCGCAACCCUUACUGUUAGUUGCUACGCAAGAGCACUCUAGCAGGACUGCCGUUGACAAAACGGAGGAAGGUGGGGAUGACGUCAAAUCAUCAUGCCCCUUAUGACCUGGGCCUCACACGUACUACAAUGGCUGUCAACAGAGGGAAGCAAAGCCGCGAGGUGGAGCGAACCCCUAAAAGCAGUCUUAGUUCGGAUUGUAGGCUGCAACCCGCCUACAUGAAGUCGGAAUUGCUAGUAAUCGCAGAUCAGCAUGCUGCGGUGAAUACGUUCCCGGGCCUUGUACACACCGCCCGUCACGCCAUGGGAGUCGGUAACACCCGAAGCCUGUAGUCUAACCGCAAGGAGGACGCAGUCGAAGGUGGGAUUGAUGACUGGGGUGAAGUCGAACAAGGUA